AGAGUUUGAUCAUGGCUCAGGAUGAACGCUGGCGGUCUGCUUAACACAUGCAAGUCGAACGGAGUAGAAAUACUUAGUGGCGGACGGGUGAGUAACGCGUGAGAAUCUGCCUUCAGGACGGAGACAACAGUUGGAAACGACUGCUAAGCCCCGAUGAACCGAAAGGGAAAAUAUUUAUAGCCUGAAGAUGAGCUCGCGUCCGAUUAGCUAGUUGGGGGGGUAAAGGCCCACCAAGGCGACGAUCGGUAGCUGGUCUGAGAGGACGAUCAGCCACACUGGGACUGAGACACGGCCCAGACUCCUACGGGAGGCAGCAGUGGGGAAUUUUCCGCAAUGGGCGAAAGCCUGACGGAGCAAGACCGCGUGAGGGAGGAAGGUUCUUGGAUUGUAAACCUCUUUUCUCAGAGAAGAAUAAUGACGGUAUCUGAGGAAUAAGCAUCGGCUAACUCCGUGCCAGCAGCCGCGGUAAUACGGAGGAUGCAAGCGUUAUCCGGAAUGAUUGGGCGUAAAGGGUCUGUAGGUGGUUGUUCAAGUCUGCUGUUAAAGCGUCUGGCUUAACCAGAUAAAGGCGGUGGAAACUGAACGACUAGAGUGCGGUAGGGGUAGAGGGAAUUCCCAGUGUAGCGGUGAAAUGCGUAGAUCUUGGGAAGAACACCUGUGGCGAAAGCGCUCUACUGGACCGCGACUGACACUGAUGGACGAAAGCUAGGGGAGCGAAUGGGAUUAGAUACCCCAGUAGUCC
rnacentral:rRNA from 1 species